CGAAGGUGUUCCAGGAAAUAGCUCCACCGUAUAAACCGUACCCGAAACCGACACAGGUGGACUGGUAGAGAAUACCAAGGCGCUUGAGAGAACUCGGGUAAAGGAACUAGGCAAAAUGGUGCCGUAACUUCGGGAGAAGGCACGCUGGCAGUAAGUGAAGCCCCUGCGGGUGGAGCUGAGACCAGUCGAAGAUACCAGGCCCCUGCGACUGUUUAUUAAAAACACAGCACUGUGCAAACACGAAAGUGGACGUAUACGGUGUGACGCCUGCCCGGUGCCGGAAGGUUAAUUGAUGGGGUUAGCGCUUGCGCGAAGCUCUUGAUCGAAGCCCCGGUAAACGGCGGCCGUAACAAUAACGGUCCUAAGGUAGCGAAAUUCCUUGUCGGGUAAGUUCCGACCUGCACGAAUGGCGUAACGAUGGGGGCGCUGUCUCUACCCGAGACUCAGUGAAAUUGAAAUCGCCGUGAAGAUGCGGUGUAUCCGCGGCUAGACGGAAAGACCCCGUGAACCUUUACUAUAGCUUCACAGUGAACUUUGAGCAUGUUUGUGUAGGAUAGCUGGGAGGCUUUGAAGUGGGAACGCCAGUUCUCAUGGAGCCAACCUUGAAAUACCAGCCUGACAUGUUUGAGGUUCUAACUUGGUCCCCUUAUCGGGGAUGAGGACACUGUGUGGUGGGUAGUUUGACUGGGGCGGUCUCCUCCCAAAGCGUAACGGAGGAGCACAAAGGUGGGCUAAGCAUGGUCGGACAUCAUGCGGUUAGUGUAAUGGCACAAGCCCGCUUAACUGCGAGACAGACACGUCGAGCAGGUACGAAAGUAGGUCAUAGUGAUCCGGUGGUUCUGUAUGGAAGGGCCAUCGCUCAACGGAUAAAAGGUACUCCGGGGAUAACAGGCUGAUACCGCCCAAGAGUUCACAUCGACGGCGGUGUUUGGCACCUCGAUGUCGGCUCAUCGCAUCCUGGGGCUGAAGCCGGUCCCAAGGGUUCGGCUGUUCGCCGAUGAAAGCGGUACGUGAGCUGGGUUUAGAACGUCGUGAGACAGUUCGGUUCCUCUCCUCCGCGGGGGACCACAAGGGCGGAGCGCUCCUUCCAGUACGAGAGGACCGAAGGGGAUCAACCUCUGGUGCACCGGUUGUCGCCCCCGCGGCAGCGCCGGGUAGCUACGUUGGUCGCGGGCCACCGCUGAAAGCAUCUCAAGCGGGCACCCGCCUCCUGCACCACUUGUGCCGCACGUGCACGACGCGCACGUCGAUAGGCGCCCCGUGGACCCCCCGCAAGGGGCGAAGCCGAGGCGUACUAAGCGAU
rnacentral:rRNA from 14 species